rnacentral:rRNA from 1 species
UUGAACGCUGGCGGCAUGCCUUACACAUGCAAGUCGAACGGCAGCGCGGGAGCAAUCCUGGCGGCGAGUGGCGAACGGGUGAGUAAUACAUCGGAACGUGCCCAAUCGUGGGGGAUAACGCAGCGAAAGCUGUGCUAAUACCGCAUACGAUCUACGGAUGAAAGCAGGGGAUCGCAAGACCUUGCGCGAAUGGAGCGGCCGAUGGCAGAUUAGGUAGUUGGUGAGGUAAAGGCUCACCAAGCCUUCGAUCUGUAGCUGGUCCGAGAGGACGACCAGCCACACUGGGACUGAGACACGGCCCAGACUCCUACGGGAGGCAGCAGUGGGGAAUUUUGGACAAUGGGCGAAAGCCUGAUCCAGCCAUGCCGCGUGCAGGAUGAAGGCCUUCGGGUUGUAAACUGCUUUUGUACGGAACGAAACGGUCUUUUCUAAUAAAGAAGGCUAAUGACGGUACCGUAAGAAUAAGCACCGGCUAACUACGUG